UACGUUUGGUGCAAGCGUUUUUCGGAAUUACUGGGCGUAAAGGGCUCGUAGGCGGCCAACUAAGUCAGACGUGAAAUCCCUCGGCUUAACCGGGGAACUGCGUCCGAUACUGGCAGGCUUGAAUUCGGGAGAGGGAUGUGGAAUUCCAGGUGUAGCGGUGAAAUGCGUAGAUAUCUGGAGGAACACCGGUGGCGAAGGCGGCAUCCUGGACCGAAAUUGACGCUGAUGAGCGAAAGCCAGGGGAGCAAACGGG
rnacentral:rRNA from 1 species